UGACUGGAGAGGUUCCUAUAAGGUGUCGGGAUGUCGCUGUCUAUUUCUCCAUGAGGAGUGGGAGUAUUUAGAAGGACACAAGGGUCUGUACAAGGAGGUCAAGAUGGAGGAGGACCAGCCCCUCACAUCUCCAGAGAGAUCCAGUCAGAGGACAACACCAGAGAGAUGUCCGCGUCCUCUCCUUGCACAGGAUGGUCAGGUAAUGGAGAUUUUCCCUAUCGCUGGUCUCUGCUGCGUCCAGUGAUUGGCUGCAGUGGUCACAUGCCCCCAUCAAUGGGAUGUUGAUUCCCAGAGUCCCAGUACCUGCGGAGGCGGUCGUGGAGUGAUGAAGCCGGCAACCAGCGGUGGGGAUCAGGUAAGUAUGAACCCACCACAAGUCCGGUCACUCUGAUGGGAUCUGUUAAAAAAGGUUAAAGUUGGAUGAUGACCCCUUUAACGAUCUUUUGUGGCCAUGUAAAAUAUUUCUUGCAACUUGUCCGACUGUCCUGUAACUUACAAUAUUUGCUUCACAGAUUUUAUAUCAGGAUGAAGAUCUGCGCAAUAUUAAUGCUACAGAGACAGAUGUGAGGGGCGAUGAGGGAUACAAGGAGGAGAUUCCUACAGAGACAGAUGUGAGGGGCGAUGAGGGAU